CCCUUAGAUGUUCUGGGCCGCACGCGCGCUACACUGAUGCAUUCAACGAGUCUAAAACCUGCUCUGAUAGGGGUGGGUAAUCUUUUGAAUGUGCAUCGUGAUUGGGAUAGAUGAUUGCAAUUUUUCAUCUUCAACGAGGAAUGCCUAGUAAACGCAAGUCAUCAGCUUGCAUGGAUUACGUCCCUGCCCUUUGUACACACCGCCCGUCGCUCCUACCGAUUGAAUGGUCCGAUGAAUAUCAUGGAUUGAGGAUGCAAGCAGGUUCGCCUGUCUUCAUCUUCGAGAAGUGAAGUAAAUCUUAUCAUUUAGAGGAAGGAGAGGUCGUAACA
rnacentral:rRNA from 1 species